rnacentral:lncRNA from 1 species
CUAAAUCUGUUGAAAAUGAUGAAUCUUUACACAAUAUAUGAAUAUAUAUAAACACUACAUUGUCACAAAAUGUCAAAUAGCAAUUUUCUUUGGUCUUUGUUCUUUUGAUGCGCGAUCAGUCGACCUGUCGGUUUAGCGCUUAAAUUCACACAAUGCUAUCAAAUGCGGUUAUGGACACCAUCACUGGCAACAUCGGAUACAGAACUUCCAAAAUAACUUCCUUCUACAUUGGUACAUCGGUAUUGGUCAUCAAAACGCCAUUCCUGCAUGGGCUCCACCAAUUAAAAUAUAAAAUUUGAGUCGCCGCUGAUUUUCCUGUUCCUCACUGGAGGCUCCAAAUGUAACGGGGUGUCAUGUGGCUAACAAAACCAAUCCAGUAAAAGUUGAUAAUUUUAUUAUUGGCACCAGACGUAUUCAAUAUAAUGAAAUAAACGCCCAAAAUUAUGGAUUUUAGGCUCACUGACCACUCAUACUUGUGCGUCAAGGAUGUGCAUUCACUGAUAUUUUCAACUAGAACAACCACAUGACUUUGGACAAAUCUUCAAUACAAAAGAACAUCCAACCCCGUCAACUUUCAGCAGCGAACUAACUAGAUAACUAUCUACCCGUAAAACGAAAACAAUAACUAAGCGUGCAUGACCAGCGGGAAAUCUACCCGGACUAAACUCAUUUGCAUAAUAAUGUAAAGGUAAUUCACAUUAUAUAAAGAGACCAGUUUCUAUACAAUAAAUUCCAACACUUUAAUUAAAUGAUUCAAAC